rnacentral:lncRNA from 1 species
GUGAGUUUUAGGGGAGGGCUCCAUGGCCCCUGACUGCCUGAGGCUGCCCAUAUUUACCAGAAGAACCCGACGAACAGUUGCACUGGCUAGGUCAGGUCACUCUACCCCUCAGUGUGCAGAUGAGGAAACUGAGGCUGAGAGUAAGAGCAGAGUAUCAGUAGGAAGCAGCACUUUCGGCUCCUGGACCAGGGCUGCCAGUGCAGGUCAGAGCUUCUCAAGCUCUUUAGGAUGAAGGACCAGUUUUUUCCCUCCAAUCUGUCACAAACCAAAAACUGUUGUGAAUUAGAAUAAAUUGACUGAAAACUGUCUUAGUCACCUACUGUCUUGGUCAAUGAUAGAAACAUUUAUUUCUCACUGUUCUAGAGGCUGGGAAAUCCAAGAUCAAGGCCGGCAGAUUCAGUGUCCAGGGAGGACAGCCACCUUCUUGCUGCGUCCUCACAGCUGUGUGGUGGAGAGAACUGCUGCUUCUUCCCUGAAUUGCUGCAACGUGGAACUGUGGGAGGCAAAGGAAACACUCCACAGGAACUCAUAAGGAAUUGAAACAUUCACACCGAUGCAUCACUUAAAAAUAAUAAUAAUGACUAACACUUAUUGUGAGCCCUUCCUGAGCUGUCUUAUUAACUUAGUUCAGGUUUUUUUAAUGUGGACUACGAAGUUACAGUCGUGCACCAUGUGACGAUGUUCCAGUCAAUGAUGGACCACGUAUACAACGGUGGUCCCAUAAGAUUAUAACGGAACUGAAAAAUUUCUAUUCCUAGCGACGUCCUAGCCAUUGUAACGUUGGAGCGCAAUGCAUUGCUCAUGUGUUUGUGGUGAUGCUGGUGUAAACAAAUCUACAGGUUCUUCAGGAGGUGCUCCGGAAGGAGGCAUCGUUAUCAUAGAAGAGGACAGCUCUACGCAAGUUAUUGCCUCUGAAGACCUUCCACUGGGACAACCUGCGGAGGUGGAAGAGAGUGAUAGCGAUGAUCCCAACCCUGUGUAGGCCUAGGCUAAUGUGUGUGUCUUAGUUUUUAACAAAAAAGUUUAAAAAGUAAAAAAAAAAAAAUUUUAAAACUAGAGAAUCUUAUAGAACAAGGAUAUAAAGAAAGAGACUAUUUUUGUACAGCCGUACAAUGUAUUUGUGUUUUAAGCUGUGUUACUACAAAAGAAUCAGAAAGUUAAAAAAUUUAAAAAUUUAUAAAGUAAAAAAGUUACAGUAAGCUGUGGUUAACUUAUUAUGAAGAAAAAGAUAUUUUAAAAAUAAAUUGAGCGUAGCCUAAGUGUACAGUGUUUAUGAAGUCUACAGGAGGGUCCAGUGAUGUCCGAGGACUUCACGUCACUCACUGACUCACCCAGAGCAGCUUCCUGUCCUGCCAGUUCCAUCCAUUUAAGAGCCCUCUAUGGGUGUACCAUUUUUUAUCUUUGAUCCCAAAUUUUCACUGUACCUUUUCUAUGCUUAGAUGUGUUUAGAUACACAAAUACUUACCACUGUGUUUCAGUUGCCUGCAGUAUUCAGCACAGUAACAUGCUGUGCAGGUUUGCAGUCUGGAGCAGUGGGCUAUAGUAUGUAGCCUAGGCGUGUGGCAGGCUGCGCCAGCUAGGUUUGUUUACGCGCACUCUCUGAUGUUUGCACAGCGAUGAAAUCUCCAACGGGUCUUCAGUGCUGUGGAAUAUUUUAUAGAGCAUUGGGUCACCUGGUCUUUGAAGGCACGGUAGAAUUUCUUGUGAAAGUACCUGGGUCUGGUGCUUUUGUGUGG